rnacentral:rRNA from 1 species
AUUGAACGCUGGCGGCGUGCCUAAUACAUGCAAGUCGAGCGAAGCGGGGACGGGUGCGUAAAACGUGGAUAACCUCCUAUAAGACUGGGAUAACUUCGGGAAACCGGAGCUAACCCGGAUACGUCUAGAUUGAUCCGCGCUGCAGUAGCUAGUUGGUAAGGUAACGGCUUACCAAGGCAACGAUGCCUAGACGACCUGGGAGGGUGAUCGGCCACACGGGAACUGAGACACGGUCCAGACUCCUACGGGAGGCAGCAGUAGGGAAUCUUCCGCAAUGGGCGAAAGCCUGACGGAGCAACGCCGCGUGAGUGAUGAAGUUCUUCGGAUCGUAAAACUCUGUUAUUAGGGAAGCGGUACCUAAUCAGAAAGCCACGGCUAACUACGUGCCAGCAGCCGCGGUAAUAC